CUAGCUGUAAACGAUGGAUACUAGGCGUUGAGAGUAUCGACCCUCUCAGUGUCGUAGCUAACGCGUUAAGUAUCCCGCCUGGGGAGUACGCGCGCAAGCGUGAAACUCAAAGGAAUUGACGGGGGCCCGCACAAGCGGUGGAGUAUGUGGUUUAAUUCGAUGCAACGCGAAGAACCUUACCAAGGCUUGACAUGUCCGGAACCCUGCCCAAAGGCGGGGGUGCCUACGGGAACCGGAACACAGGUGGUGC
rnacentral:rRNA from 1 species